rnacentral:rRNA from 1 species
UCAAUGCUCGCAAGAGUGAACUAGCUAACUGGAAUCACGAAUGUGCCACUUGUGAUAAGGUAAAGGAAAAUAAUGAUAUUACUUUACUAUUAGUGUUGUCCAAACCUGGUGCCAGAAGACUCGGUAAUGCCAGAGACGCGAGCGUUAAUCAUCUUGAUCAGGCGUAAAGGGUUUGUAGGCGGCUUUAAAUUUAAUUAUAGCUAGAAUCAUAUAGAGGUCACUGUCAGAUAAUACUUAGAGUAGGGUUGACAUCUGUAGAUACUAAGUGGAAUUCUAAUUAGCGAAGGCUCUUUUCCAAUUAAUGAUUGACGCUGAGAAACGAAAGGGAGGAUCGACAAUAGGAUUAGAUACCCUGGCAUCCCUCUCUGUAGACGAUGAAUGGUAGUUGUUAGUUC